rnacentral:rRNA from 1 species
CACGUAGGGCGCAAGCGUUGUCCGGAAUUAUUGGGCGUAAAGAGCUCGUAGGCGGUCUGUUGCGUCCGCUGUGAAAACCCGGGGCUCAACCCCGGGCCUGCAGUCGAUACGGGCAGACUAGAGUGCGGUAGGGGAGACUGGAAUUCCUGGUGUAGCGGUGAAAUGCGCAGAUAUCAGGGGGAACACCGGUGGCGAAGGCGGGUCUCUGGGCCGUAACUGACGCUGAGGAGCGAAAGCGUGGGGAGCGAACAGG